rnacentral:rRNA from 1 species
AGUGAACGCUGGCGGUAGGCCUAACACAUGCAAGUCGAACGGCAGCACAGUAAGAGCUUGCUCUUACGGGUGGCGAGUGGCGGACGGGUGAGGAAUACAUCGGAAUCUACUUUUUCGUGGGGGAUAACGUAGGGAAACUUACGCUAAUACCGCAUACGACCUACGGGUGAAAGCAGGGGAUCUUCGGACCUUGCGCGAUUGAAUGAGCCGAUGUCGGAUUAGCUAGUUGGCGGGGUAAAGGCCCACCAAGGCGACGAUCCGUAGCUGGUCUGAGAGGAUGAUCAGCCACACUGGAACGGAGACACGGUCCAGACUCCUACGGGAGGCAGCAGUGGGGAAUAUUGGACAAUGGGCGCAAGCCUGAUCCAGCCAUACCGCGUGGGUGAAGAAGGCCUUCGGGUUGUAAAGCCCUUUUGUUGGGAAAGAAAAGCAGCAGGUUAAUACCCCGCUGUUCCGACGGUACCCAAAGAAUAAGCACCGGCUAACUUCGUG